rnacentral:misc_RNA from 1 species
AACCGCUCUCGCGAAUACUGUCUUGAUGCUUUUCUCCAAUCUGUACCAGCCUUCAUCAUUGUCGCAAACUCAUCGUAACUUAUUCUUCCAUCCUUAUCUGUGUCCACAUCAUGAAUGAUAGCAUUAAUGAUCUCUUCGCUGUUUUCAUCCACUUCAUCAGCCAACGCAUCUCUUAGCUCCUCAAUUUCUAUGUACCCACUUUGGUUUUUAUCAAAGAAUUCAAAGGCCUUGAGAAGGUGUUCAUCGUUGCCCAUCUUUCUUAGGUGAACAGAAAUGGUCAC